AGAGUUUGAUCCUGGCUCAGGAUGAACGCUAGCUACAGGCUUAACACAUGCAAGUCGAGGGGCAGCAUCAUCAAAGCUUGCUUUGAUGGAUGGCGACCGGCGCACGGGUGAGUAACACGUAUCCAACCUGCCGACAACACUGGGAUAGCCUUUCGAAAGAAAGAUUAAUACCGGAUGGCAUAGUUUUUCCGCAUGGGAUAAUUAUUAAAGAAUUUCGGUUGUCGAUGGGGAUGCGUUCCAUUAGGCAGUUGGCGGGGUAACGGCCCACCAAACCAACGAUGGAUAGGGGUUCUGAGAGGAAGGUCCCCCACAUUGGAACUGAGACACGGUCCAAACUCCUACGGGAGGCAGCAGCGAGGAAUAUUGGUCAAUGGACGAGAGUCUGAACCAGCCAAGUAGCGUGAAGGAUGACUGCCCUAUGGGUUGUAAACUUCUUUUAUACGGGAAUAAAGUUAGCCACGUGUGGCUUUUUGUAUGUACCGUAUGAAUAAGGAUCGGCUAACUCCGUGCCAGCAGCCGCGGUAAUACGGAGGAUCCGAGCGUUAUCCGGAUUUAUUGGGUUUAAAGGGAGCGUAGGCGGGUUGUUAAGUCAGUUGUGAAAGUUUGCGGCUCAACCGUAAAAUUGCAGUUGAUACUGGCGACCUUGAGUGCAACAGAGGUAGGCGGAAUUCGUGGUGUAGCGGUGAAAUGCUUAGAUAUCACGAAGAACUCCGAUUGCGAAGGCAGCUCACUGGAGUGUAACUGACGCUGAUGCUCGAAAGUGUGGGUAUCAAACAGGAUUAGAUACCCUGGUAGUCCACACAGUAAACGAUGAAUACUCGCUGUUUGCGAUAUACAGUAAGCGGCCAAGCGAAAGCAUUAAGUAUUCCACCUGGGGAGUACGCCGGCAACGGUGAAACUCAAAGGAAUUGACGGGGGCCCGCACAAGCGGAGGAACAUGUGGUUUAAUUCGAUGAUACGCGAGGAACCUUACCCGGGCUUAAAUUGCAAAUGAAUUAUGGGGAAACCCAUAGGCCGUAAGGCAUUUGUGAAGGUGCUGCAUGGUUGUCGUCAGCUCGUGCCGUGAGGUGUCGGCUUAAGUGCCAUAACGAGCGCAACCCUUAUCUUCAGUUACUAACAGGUCAUGCUGAGGACUCUGGAGAGACUGCCGUCGUAAGAUGUGAGGAAGGUGGGGAUGACGUCAAAUCAGCACGGCCCUUACGUCCGGGGCCACACACGUGUUACAAUGGUAGGUACAGAGGGCAGCUACCCUGCGAAGGGAUGCGAAUCUCGAAAGCCUAUCUCAGUUCGGAUUGGAGGCUGAAACCCGCCUCCAUGAAGUUGGAUUCGCUAGUAAUCGCGCAUCAGCCAUGGCGCGGUGAAUACGUUCCCGGGCCUUGCACUCACCGCCCGUCA
rnacentral:rRNA from 1 species